rnacentral:rRNA from 1 species
AAAAGCGUAACAAGGUCUCCGUUGGUGAACCAGCGGAGGGAUCAUUACCGAGUUUACAACUCCCAAACCCCUGUGAACAUACCAAUUGUUGCCUCGGCGGAUCAGCCCGCUCCCGGUAAAACGGGACGGCCCGCCAGAGGACCCCUAAACUCUGUUUCUAUAUGUAACUUCUGAGUAAAACCAUAAAUAAAUCAAAACUUUCAACAACGGAUCUCUUGGUUCUGGCAUCGAUGAAGAACGCAGCAAAAUGCGAUAAGUAAUGUGAAUUGCAGAAUUCAGUGAAUCAUCGAAUCUUUGAACGCACAUUGCGCCCGCCAGUAUUCUGGCGGGCAUGCCUGUUCGAGCGUCAUUUCAACCCUCAAGCCCUCGGGUUUGGUGUUGGGGAUCGGCGAGCCCUUGCGGCAAGCCGGCCCCGAAAUCUAGUGGCGGUCUCGCUGCAGCUUCCAUUGCGUAGUAGUAAAACCCUCGCAACUGGUACGCGGCGCGGCCAAGCCGUUAAACCCCCAACUUCUGAAUGUUGACCUCGGAUCAGGUAGGAAUACCCGCUGAACUUAAGCAUAUCAAUAAGCCG